rnacentral:rRNA from 1 species
CCUACGGGGGGCAGCAGUGAGGAAUAUUGGUCAAUGGACGAGAGUCUGAACCAGCCAAGUAGCGUGAAGGAUGACUGCUCUAUGGGUUGUAAACUUCUGUUAUAAAGGAAUAAAACGAGGCACGUGUGCCUUUUUGCAUGUACUUUAUGAAUAAGGAUCGGCUAACUCCGUGCCAGCAGCCGCGGUAAUACGGAGGAUCCGUGCGUUAUCCGGAUUUAUUGGGUUUAAAGGGAGCGUAGAUGGUUUGUUAAGUCAGUUGUGAAAGUUUGCGGCUCAACCGUAAAAUUGCAAUUGAUACUGGCAGUCUAGAGUACAGGUGAGGUAGGCGGAAUUCGUGGUGUAGCGGUGAAAUGCUUAGAUAUCACGAAGAACCCCGAUUGCGAAGGCAGCUUACUAAACUGUGACUGACAUUGAUGCACGAAAGUGUGGGUAUCAAACAGGAUUAGAUACCCCAGUAGUC